AUUGAACGCUGGCGUCAGGCCUAACACAUGCAAGUCGAACGAGUGGCGGACGGGUGCGUAAUGUCUGGGAAACUGCCUGAUGGAGGGGGAUAACUACUGGAAACGGUAGCUAAUACCGCAUACCAUCAGAUGUUCCCAGAUGGGAUUAGCUAGUAGGUGAGGUAACGGCUCACCUAGGCGACGAUCCCUAGCUGGUCUGAGAGGAUGACCAGCCACACUGGAACUGAGACACGGUCCAUACUCCUACGGGAGGCAGCAGUGGGGAAUAUUGCAUAAGGGGCGAAAGCCUGAUGCAGCCAUGCCGCGUGUAUGAAGAAGGCCUUCGGGUUGUAAAGUACUUUCAGCGGGGAGGCGUUACCCGCAGAAGAAGCACCGGCUAACUCCGUGCCAGCAGCCGCGGUAAUUC
rnacentral:rRNA from 1 species